AUUGAACGCUGGCGGCAGGCCUAACACAUGCAAGUCGAACGAGUGGCGGACGGGUGAGUAAUGUCUGGGAAACUGCCCGAUGGAGGGGGAUAACUACUGGAACCGGUAGCUAAUACCGCAUACCAUCGGAUGUGCCCAGUUUGGAUUAGCUAGUAGGUGGGGUAAAGGCUAACCUAGGCGACGAUCUCUGGCUGGUCUGAGAGGAUGAUCAGCAACACUGGGACUGACACACGGGCCAGACUCCUACGUGAGGCAGCAGUGGAGAAUAUUGGACAAUGGGCGAAAGCCUGAUCCAGCCAUGCCGCGUGUGUGAAGAAGGGCUUCGGAUUGUACAGCACUUUAAGAUGGGAGGCGUUACCAACAGAAUAAGCACAGACUAUCUUCGUGCCAGCAGCCGCGGUAAUAC
rnacentral:rRNA from 1 species